rnacentral:lncRNA from 1 species
CUGCCCCAUAGGGCUUCAAGCACUCUGGGCUACUUACAAGUUAAUUAUGCUACACAUUGCCCUAAAAAGGCAGCAAAAGUGUUGUGGUACCUCGAGGAUGAACAGUUCAAUCACUUGUCUGAAGAAAAGAAUGUAUCCAUGAAAGCUCAUGCUAAAAUAUAGCAUUCUAUAAGGUGCCACAAUACUCUCUUUAAUUUUAGUUUUUAUUUUUGUCUGGAUAAGACUGGUUCAGUACAUAAAGCUGUCACAGUUAUGUUCUGUCAAGGCAAAGCUGACUCAUAAUGACCCUAAAAGGGCUUUUAAGAAAAGAGGUAUUUGAGGAGCUCCAUUCCCCUGUGAGUUUCCAUACCUGAGUGACGAUUCAAACCCAGGUCUCGACUCCUAGUCUGUCACUCUAUCUACUGCACCACACUGGAAACCACAAACACCAUGUAACAGGAUUACAUGCUGUUUAUUAGUGCUGAUAAAACACAUUCACCUCUAUAAACAGCUUGACAGGGCAGUGGUAAGUGCUUCCACAGGAAUGGGGAAUACACUGUGGAUGGAUUGUCAUCCCUUAAUUCCUGACCAUUGGCAAUACCGGGAGCUGCAAUCCAACAACUUUUCAUUUCCCAGCCUUGCUGUCUUCUCUCAGCUGCUGUCUCCACCCAUAUUCCUUAGAGUAAUAAGUUCCUCCCCCAUGGUAGAUGCACACUUAUUAGAUGAGCAGGUCAUGUACUUAUCACGUGCUUGAGAGUAGAAAGAGAAGUUUUAUCUUCCUAUUAUAGUCUAGACAUUUCAGAUUCUAUAAUGUCUCUCCAUGCAGCAACAGAAUCUCAUGAAUUGGUAUUUUUCAUUAAUGGGGAAAAGAUAUCAGUGAAGAAUGCUGAUCCAGAAACAACAUUGUUGUCCUACUUGAGAAAGAAUCAUAUCUUUUUCUUUAGUGCACAGAUAAGGUACAGUACGCAGAUAAGGCUGAGCACUGGAUCACCAACAGAUUGCACAUGUACUCUGAGUCCAGGCAGGAAGAAAUCCAAGGGCUAGUUCUACUGACAGAAUCACUUCUCUCAGAUGACACGUUACUACAAUCCUUAAAUCAUGCAUCCUUAAAAUCAGCCCUGGGGAACAGGAGAACCCUUUAAAGCCAAAUAUCAGGCAGUGCAGAAGGCUUCAGUGGCAAGAAAGUUUGAUCAUGCUAGUUGCUAGUGGUAGUUUGCUAGUGGGACAUUGGAUAUAGAUCAUAGCCCCCCACCUGAAAAACAUAAUGUGUGGAAGUAUCCCAAGAAUAAUGUACUCUGUGUUGCUAAGGUCCGUGCUGGUCCAACAAAAUGCAUUAGUGUAUGUUUUAUGUUGUUAGCCGCCUAGAGUGGUCCUGAUCCGACCAGAUAGGCGGGAUAUAAGCCGCCCAG